rnacentral:rRNA from 1 species
GCUUGUACGGCGAGUGAGCGGCAAAAGCUCAAAUUUGAAAUCUGGUACCUUCGGUGCCCGAGUUGUAAUUUGGAGAGGGCAACUUUGGGGCCGUUCCUUGUCUAUGUUCCUUGGAACAGGACGUCAUAGAGGGUGAGAAUCCCGUGUGGCGAGGAGUGCGGUUCUUUGUAAAGUGCCUUCGAAGAGUCGAGUUGUUUGGGAAUGCAGCUCUAAGUGGGUGGUAAAUUCCAUCUAAAGCUAAAUAUUGGCGAGAGACCGAUAGCGAACAAGUACAGUGAUGGAAAGAUGAAAAGAACUUUGAAAAGAGAGUGAAAAAGUACGUGAAAUUGUUGAAAGGGAAGGGCAUUUGAUCAGACAUGGUGUUUUGUGCCCUCUGCUCCUUGUGGGUAGGGGAAUCUCGCAUUUCACUGGGCCAGCAUCAGUUUUGGUGGCAGGAUAAAUCCAUAGGAAUGUAGCUUGCCUCGGUAAGUAUUAUAGCCUGUGGGAAUACUGCCAGCUGGGACUGAGGACUGCGACGUAAGUCAAGGAUGCUGGCAUAAUGGUUAUAUGCCGCUCGUCUUGAACCACGGACCA